rnacentral:rRNA from 1 species
ACACCUGAUUCUUUAUUUAGAAAAAAAGACUUCCGAUCCCCGUAAGAGCUCGAUAAAAUAAAAUUUUCUAAGCCAAAGCACGUACCCUUCUAGGGGAUCUCUGGUAUUUUCAGGUUU